rnacentral:rRNA from 1 species
AAGUCCCGCAACGAGCGCAACCCUCAUUGUAGUUACUACCAUUCAGUUGAGGACUCUAAUGAGACUGCCAACGACAAGUUGGAGGAAGGUGGGGAUGACGUCAAAUCAUCAUGCCCUUUAUGACCUGGGCUACAAACGUACUACAAUGGCCAAUACAAAGAGAUGCGAAGCGGUGACGUGGAGCGAACCUCAGAAAGUUGGUCUCAGUUCAGAUUGAAGUCUGCAACUCGACUUCAUGAAGGCGGAAUCGCUAGUAAUCGCGGGUCAGCAGACCGCGGUGAAUACGUUCCCGGGUUU